CCAGACUCCUACGGGAGGCAGCAGUGGGGGAUAUUGCACAAUGGGGGAAACCCUGAUGCAGCGACGCCGCGUGUGGGAAGACGGUCCUCUGGAUUGUAAACCACUGUCCCCAGGGACGAAGAUGACGGUACCUGGGGAGGAAGCUCCGGCUAACUACGUGCCAGCAGCCGCGGUAAUACGUAGGGGGCAAGCGUUAUCCGGAUUCACUGGGUGUAAAGGGAGCGUAGACGGCGACGCAAGUCUGGAGUGAAAGCCCGGGGCCCAACCCCGGGACUGCUCUGGAAACUGCGUCGCUGGAGUACGGGAGGGGCAGGCGGAAUUCCUGGUGUAGCGGUGAAAUGCGUAGAUAUUAGGAGGAACACCAGUGGCGAAGGCGGCCUGCUGGACGACAACUGACGGUGAGGCGCGAAAGCGUGGGGAGCAAACAGGAUUAGAUACCCUUGUA
rnacentral:rRNA from 1 species